AUUGAACGCUGGCGGCAUGCCUUACACAUGCAAGUCGAACGGUAGCGGGCCUUCGGGUGCCGACGAGUGGCGAACGGGUGAGUAAUAUAUCGGAACGUACCUUUCAGUGGGGGAUAACGUAGCGAAAGUUACGCUAAUACCGCAUAUUCUGUGCGCAGGAAAGCAGGGGACCUUCGGGCCUUGCGCUGAUUGAGCGGCCGAUAUCAGAUUAGCUAGUUGGUGAGGUAAAGGCUCACCAAGGCGACGAUCUGUAGCGGGUCUGAGAGGAUGAUCCGCCACACUGGAACUGAGACACGGUCCAGACUCCUACGGGAGGCAGCAGUGGGGAAUUUUGGACAAUGGGGGCAACCCUGAUCCAGCCAUGCCGCGUGAGUGAAGAAGGCCUUCGGGUUGUAAAGCUCCUUCGGCCGGGAAGAAAUCGUAUGGGCUAAUACCCUGUGCGGAUGACGGUACCGGCAUAAGAAGCACCGGCUAACUACGUGCCAGCCGCCGCCGUAA
rnacentral:rRNA from 1 species